rnacentral:rRNA from 1 species
AGAGAGGUCCUGCGCCGAAAAUGUCCGGGGCUGAAACACGACACCGAAGCACAGGAUACCGCAAGGUAUGGUAGAGGAGCAUUGCUGGCGCGAUGAAGCAGUACCGGAAGGAGCUGUGGAGUGCCAGGAAGAGAGAAUGCCGGAAUGAGUAGCGAGAGAGAGGUGGGAAUCCUCUCGGCCGAAUAUCCAAGGUUUCCAGGGUAAAGCUGAUCUGCCCUGGGUAAGUCGGGGCCUAAGGAGAGGCAGAAAUGCGUAUCCGAUGGACAGCAGGUUGAGAUUCCUGCACUAUCUUAAAACAGAACUGUGGGGACAUUUGUGGAGAGCACAGGCGCGGAACGGAAAGCCGCGUGCAAGCGAAGGAGGAGUCACAUAGGAAAAACCGUGUGGCAAUCCAGAGGCGUGAUGCGGACCGAACUAAAGUAGGGAAGUGUGUGAGCCAUGAAUCAAGAAAAGCCGCUAUUGUUUUUAAGAUACCCGUACCGUAAACCGACACAGGUGGAUGAGGAGAGAAUCCUAAGGCCGGCGGAAGAAGCAUUGUUAAGGAACUCGGCAAAAUGACCCCGUAACUUCGGGAGAAGGAGUGCCAACGAGAGUUGGCCGCAGAGAAUAGGCUCAAGCAACUGUUUAGCAAAAACACAGGUCUAUGCAAAACCGUAAGGUGAGGUAUAUGGGCUGACGCCUGCCCGGUGCUGGAAGGUUAAGAGGAGAGGUUAGCGCAAGCGAAGCUUUGAAUUUAAGCCCCAGUAAACGGCGGCCGUAACAAUAACGGUCCUAAGGUAGCGAAAUUCCUUGUCGGGUAAGUUCCGACCCGCACGAAAGGCGUAAUGAUUUGAGCGCUGUCUCGACAAUGCAUCCGGUGAAAUUGAAGUACCAGUGAAGAUGCUGGUUACCCGCGCCAGGACGGAAAGACCCCAUGGAGCUUUACUCCAGUUUGGUACUGGGGUCCGGCAGUGCAUGUACAGGAUAGGUGGGAGGCUGAGAACCUGGAACGCCAGUUUCAGGGGAGCCAUUGUUGGGAUACCACCCUUGUGCUGCUGGGCUUCUAACCAGCGGCCUUUAUCAGGCCGGGGGACAAUGCCAGACGGGGAGUUUGACUGGGGCGGUCGCCUCCGAAAGGGUAUCGGAGGCGCUCAAAGGUUCCCUCAGAAUGGUCGGAAACCAUUCGAAGAGUGCAAAGGCAGAAGGGAGCUCGACUGCGACACCGACGGGUGGAGCAGGUACGAAAGUAGGACUUAGUGAUCCGGUGGUAUUAAGUGGGAAUGCCAUCGCUCAACGGAUAAAAGCUACCCUGGGAUAACAGGCUUAUCACUCCCAAGAGUUCACAUCGACGGAGUGGUUUGGCACCUCGAUGUCGGCUCAUCGCAUCCUGGGGCUGUAGUAGGUCCCAAGGGUUGGGCUGUUCGCCCAUUAAAGCGGUACGCGAGCUGGGUUCAGAACGUCGUGAGACAGUUCGGUCCCUAUCCGGCGUGGGCGUAGGAUAUUUGAGAGGAGCUGUCCUUAGUACGAGAGGACCGGGAUGGACUGACCUCUGGUGUACCGGUUGAACCGCCAGGUUCACGGCCGGGUAGCCAAGUCGGGAAGGGAUAAACGCUGAAGGCAUCUAAGCGUGAAGCCCCCCUCAAGAUGAGAUAUCCCAUUCGAAAGAAGUAAGACCCCUUGAAGACGACGAGGUAGAUAGGGCAGAGGUGGAAGUGCCGUAAGGCAUGGAGCUGACUGUUACUAUCGGUCGAGGGCUUGAU